rnacentral:rRNA from 1 species
UACGGGGGGGGCAAGCGUUGUCCGGAUUUAUUGGGCGUAAAGGGCGCGUAGGUGGCCAACUAAGUCAGACGUGAAAUCCCCAGGCUUAACCUGGGAACUGCGUCUGAUACUGGAUGGCUUGAAUUCGGGAGAGGGAUGCAGAAUUCCAGGUGUAGCGGUGAAAUGCGUAGAUAUCUGGAGGAAUACCGGUGGCGAAGGCGGCAUCCUGGACCGAGAUUGACACUGAGUGAGCGAAAGCCAGGGGAGCAAACGGG